ACGAGACAUUUUACACUUGCCAGGGUAACUCUGACAGACUGGUGAAGAGAGUUUUGCAUCACAAAGUGAAUGCAUGCAUGACUUUUCAAUUUAAAAGCAUGGAGAACUUUCCUUCCAUUUCCACUGGCUGUCCCAAAGGCAAUGUAUCAGAAAGCCUGCCAACCUGACAGUGACUCAGCCACCUGGCCAUGAUGUAAAGACUGCAAAAAGCCUCGCAGAAAGAAAGGCCCAUUGGUGAGAAAUCAAGGCCUUUCGCUGAGAGCCAUGUGAAUGAGCAUCUGAGAAGCAGAUCCUCCCUCUUAGUCAAACUUCUGGACAACCGUCAGGCUGACAUCUUGGCUGCAACAUGAGACCCUCAGAUAAACCACUCUGCUAAACCAUUCUGUACCCUGAUCUGCAAACUUUGAGAUGUAAUAGGAGAAAAAGAAGAUGGGGAGAGAAGGAGGAAGAAGAGAAGGAAGAGGAGGAGGAGGAUGAGCAGUGCAGCACUCACUGAAUGCCCCUAUGCUCCAGGCAAUAUGCCAAGUCUUCAUAUACAUCAUCUCAUGUAAUUCUCACAGCCACCUCAUGAGAAAUAACCGCUGACUACCCUGGGCACUGAGCACUGGCCCUGACGGGGGAGGUGGCCGGUGAGCAGAGCACACAGAGCGUCCUCAUCUCAGCAAGCCAGCGCGGACACAAGAACGUGGGCAGCAGCCAGGACAGCAAGCAGGUGAAACACCAAGCAGGAGCCAAGUGAUGAUGCACACAAACAACCCAAGGGGAGAAAAAAUGGUUACAAUAAAAGUAGACGCUAUAAAAAUGGUCAA